rnacentral:rRNA from 1 species
AAGUUGUUGCGGUUAAAAAGCUCGUAGUCGGAGGUGUGUCUCGGACGGUCGGUUCGCCGCUUGUCGGUGCUCAACUGGCCGGUCCGGACGUCCUGCCGGUGGGGCCGCAAGGUCCCGUGAUCCUUCUUUGGUCCUCUUCACCGAGUGCCUUGGUGGGCCGGCACGUUUACUUUGAACAAAUUAGAGUGCUCAAAGCAGGCCGUUGGUCGCCUGAAUACUGUGUGCAUGGAAUAAUGGAAUAGGACCUCGGUUCCAUUUUGUUGGUUUUCAGAACUCGAGGUAAUGAUUAAUAGGGACGGACGGGGGCAUUCGUAUUGCGACGUUAGAGGUGAAAUUCUUGGAUCGUCGCAAGACGAACCGAUGCGAAAGCAUUUGCCAAGAACGUUUUCGUUGAUCAAGAACGAAAGUUAGAGGUUCGAAGGCGAUCAGAUACCGCCCUAGUUCUAACCAUAAACGAUGCCAGCUAGCCAUCCGCCGAAGUUCCUUCUAUGACUCGGCGGGCAGCUUCCGGGAAACCAAAGCUCUUGGGUUCCGGGGGAAGUAUGGUUGCAAAGCUCAAACUUAAAGGAAU